rnacentral:rRNA from 1 species
UGAGGAAUAUUGGUCAAUGGGCGAGAGCCUGAACCAGCCAAGUAGCGUGCAGGAUGACGGCCCUAUGGGUUGUAAACUGCUUUUAUAUGGGAAUAAAGUGAGGGACGUGUCCCUUAUUGCAUGUACCAUAUGAAUAAGGACCGGCUAAUUCCGUGCCAGCAGCCGCGGUAAUACGGAAGGUCCAGGCGUUAUCCGGAAUUAUUGGGUUUAAAGGGUGCGCAGGUGGCUAAUCAGGUCAGUGGUGAAAAGCUAUGGCUCAACCAUGGUCUUGCCAUUGAAACCGUAUAGCUAGAGAGGAGACGAGGUAGGCGGAAUGUGUGGUGUAGCGGUGAAAUGCAUAGAUAUCACACAGAACUCCGAUUGCGAAGGCAGCUUACCAGGCUUUAUCUGACACUUAGGCACGACAGCGUGGGGAUCAAACAGG